rnacentral:rRNA from 1 species
UACAGAGGGGGCAAGCGUUGUUCGGAAUUACUGGGCGUAAAGGGCGCGUAGGCGGCCUUCUAAGUCGAACGUGAAAUCCCUGGGCUCAACCCAGGAACUGCGUCCGAUACUGGGAGGCUUGAAUCCGGGAGAGGGAUGCGGAAUUCCAGGUGUAGCGGUGAAAUGCGUAGAUAUCUGGAGGAACACCGAUGGCGAAGGCAGCCCCCUGGGCCGACACUGACGCUCAGGCACGAAAGCGUGGGGAGCAAACAGG